rnacentral:rRNA from 1 species
GACGAACGCUGGCGGCGUGCCUAAUACAUGCAAGUAGAACGCACAGUUUAUACCGUAGCUUGCUACACCAUAAACUGUGAGUUGCGAACGGGUGAGUAACGCGUAGGUAACCUGCCUGGUAGCGGGGGAUAACUAUUGGAAACGAUAGCUAAUACCGCAUAAUAUUAAUUAUUGCAUGAUAAUUGAUUGAAAGAUGCAAUUGCAUCACUACCAGAUGGACCUGCGUUGUAUUAGCUAGUAGGUGAGGUAACGGCUCACCUAGGCGACGAUACAUAGCCGACCUGAGAGGGUGAUCGGCCAUACUGGGACUGAGACACGGCCCAGACUCCUACGGGAGGCAGCAGUAGGGAAUCUUCGGCAAUGGACGAAAGUCUGACCGAGCAACGCCGCGUGAGUGAAGAAGGUUUUCGGAUCGUAAAGCUCUGUUGUAAGAGAAGAACGGGUGUGAGGGUGGAAAGUUCACACUGUGACGGUAUCUUACCAGAAAGGGACGGCUAACUACGUG